UUAAAUGAGGUACAAACAAAAUACGUGGUGCAGAUGAAAAAAACGCGCUGCAAGAAACAAAGACAAAUGCAUCAUCAUCAAAUGCGCUGCAAAUAGAGAAACGAUGCAAAGCGCGAAACGAUGAAAACCAAGAAAACACCUGCAAAAGAAAAACGCUGCAUAAAGAGUCGCCACAACGGAAGUGCUCCAAACCUGCAGGGGGCGCUCAGUGUAACAGCUCAAUGGAGAGACACACCGGCUGGACAGAGAGAAAGGAUCUGCCUUUGAGAGACAGAAAACAGCUGACUGACGAUAAACUACAGCGGGGACUAAUGAUUGUUACGACUCCUGUAUGAGGACACAACUUACUGCUGGGGCCACAGAACUGUUGGCUGAUGAGACACUCAUGAUUCAUGAAAUGGGUCAAAUGCAGAUGACAAAGUAAAGCCCACACUGCACUGGAGGUGCUGAACCAGACUCCUGCCACAGAUUAGGACCUGACUUUGAACCUAUCAGACAUAAGGCCCAUUCUGCUCUUCCUCCUCCAGAAGAUGAGAGAUACAUUAGACUGAGUGGCCCAAGUACAUUGGUUCAUGUCUUCACUGUCCAUGUCCAGACUCACUGAGGAGGAGGUCGUCCAGACUGCAGCACAUCUGUAGGGUCUCUGGUUGCAUCAGGCCUUCCUCCUGCUGUCUCUAAUGUGUGUUAAUAGUGAUGUGUCCUUAAAGUUUAGGUUUAACUUCUAAUUUCUUGCACAAGUAAAACAGUAAAAUGGUGGUUCCUUUUCAUCUUAGCUGAGGAGCACCUAAACAACUUCAUCACUG